rnacentral:rRNA from 1 species
GACGAACGCUGGCGGCGUGCUUAACACAUGCAAGUCGAGCGAUGAAGUUCCUUCGGGAAUGGAUUAGCGGCGGACGGGUGAGUAACACGUGGGUAACCUGCCUCAUAGAGGGGAAUAGCCUUUCGAAAGGAAGAUUAAUACCGCACAAGAUUGUAGUAUCGCAUGAUACAGCAAUUAAAGGAGUAAUUCGCUAUGAGAUGGACCCGCGGCGCAUUAGCUAGUUGGUGAGGUAACGGCGCACCAAGGCGACGAUGCGUAGCCGACCUGAGAGGGUGAUCGGCCACAUUGGGACUGAGAAACGGCCCAGACUCCUACGGGAGGCAGCAGUGGGGAAUAUUGCACAAUGGGGGAAACCCUGAUGCAGCAACGCCGCGUGAGUGAUGACGGUCUUCGGAUUGUAAAACUCUGUCUUCAGGGACGAUAAUGACGGUACCUGAGGAGGAAGCCACGGCUAACUACGUGCCAGCCGCCGCCGUAA